rnacentral:rRNA from 1 species
AUCGUGAAACCGCGAAUGGCUCAUUACAACAGCUAUAGUUCACUGGAUAUAACCCAGUUACAUGGAUAACUGUGGUAAUUCUACAGCUAAUACACGCUUCAAAACCCUGACUUUACGGAAGGGUGCGUUAGUUAAUUCAAACCAAUCAGACUUCGGUCUGCAUCCAAGUGAAAUUGAACUAUUUAGCUGAUCGCACGGUCUAAGAACCGGCGACAUAUCCUUCAAACAUCUGCCUUAUCAACUGUCGAUGGUAGAUUAUGCGCCUACCAUGGUUGUAACGGGUAACGGAGAAUCAGGGUUUGAUUCCGGAGAGGGAGCCUGAGAAAUGGCUACCACAUCCAAGGAAGGCAGCAGGCACGCAAAUUACCCACUCCCGGCACGUUGUGGUAGUGACGAAAAAUAACAAGCUGGUCUCUAUGAGUUCCGGCAUUGUAAUGGGAACAACCCAAAUCAUUUAUCGAGGAUCUAUUGGAGGGCAAGUCUGGUGCCAGCAGCCGCGGUAAUUCCAGCUCCAAUAGCGUAUAUUAAAGUUGUUGC